rfam:Haemonchus contortus, ISE/inbred ISE, WGS project CAVP01000000 data, contig: Hcontortus_40408
GGUCCGAAUUUGAAGUGGAGUAGAUAAGUACGAUCAGUUGACCCUACUAAACCACUUCACUUCAAGCUUGUGCCC